UCCUGGCAUCUGGUGGGUACAGGCCAAGGAUGCUGCCGGACAUCCUUCAGGGCACAGGAUGGCCCCCUACAACAGAGAAUUAUCCAGCCCUAAGUGUCAAUAGUGCCAAGGUCAAAAAACUCAGGUUAAAUGUAUUAAUGGGCCAUGAAGUUGGAGGCCAGGGAGACCAUUCUAUUGCCUUAGCAUAAACACAGUUGCCCACAACCUAGAGACCUUCUCCGGCGCAGGAAAAUAGAGCUAAGUGGGUGUGUGGAGUAGCUCAGAGAACCAAAGAGGGCUCCAUUGUUCUGUGUGUGCUGCGCGUGUGUUGGGGUGGGGAGGAGGCGGCUGGUGGCCCUGGUGCCAGAAUCUGUGUGUGACCCACUGGGAGAAGCCAAGUGGCGGGCAGUGGUUGCCAGAGCCUUCACUGCAAGCUGUGUUUGUGUGACGGGCUUGAGGUUGUUACGUAGAUGGUAUCUACAGCUCGAUGAGAAUGACCGUAUUUUCUCAGUUGCUUAUGGCUAUCCUUCAUAGAAUAGUCAGGAAACAUCCAUGGUCUCUAUCAGUGGUCCUCAACCAGCGGUGACUUUGUUUCCUAGGGGACAUCUGGCAGUGUCAGGGACAUUUGCGAUCGUCACAAUAGUGGGGGCAUCUAGUAGGUGGAGGCCAAACGAUGCUGCUCCACAUCCCCCAGGGCACAGGACAGGAUACCCCCCAAUGUCAUUUGUCCCCAAAUGUCGAUAGUGCAGACAUUGAGAAACUCCAGUUUCUCCAGGAUCCUGUUGUUAUUGGGGUAAAAGCCACCUCCAGGGGCACCUGAGUACUUCAGUAGGUUGGGCUUCUGACUCUUGAUUUCGGCUCAGGUCAAAAUCUCAUCGUUUGUGAGUUCAAGCCCUGCAUUGGGCUCUGUGCUGGCAGCACAGAACCUGCUUGGGAUUCUGUCUCCUGUCUCCCUCUCUGCCCCUCCCCUGCUUGCUCUCUCCCUCUCUCUCUCCAAAAUAACUAAAUAAAUAAACAAACACUAAAAGCCACCUCCAGCUGUCUGGGGUGGUGGGGGACAGGCUUGGGGAAUGGAAGGGAUAACUUGUGUUUGGACAAGUCGAGCAGUCCCUGAGAUCAUUUGGGAGCUAGAGGUACCCUAGAGGUAUUUUGCAGAGUGUUUCUUGAGACCACAUUACACGCCAUGCCCUCUGCCCCCUGCUGAGCACAGGGGCAUGUGGGAGGAUUUUAUCUCAGCUCUGGAGAAAUGUCUAGUUAGCUGAAUGACAGACACUAAGGAUUUUGAGGGGUACAGAGGGAAACACCUGGGCCAGGAGUUUGAGUCCUGACUUUGUUUCUGUGAGAAACACCGGCACGUGCCUUCUCUACUCUGAUGCUUCAUUUUUAGCUCUGCAAGCCCUGGACUCCCAGGGCUGAGAUGAUCGAAAAACAAGAUGGUAGGACAUGGGGAUUUGGGGAGUUGGACAGAGGUUCUGGCAUCACUGGGGUUCCCAGGAGGCAGGGCACAGCUGGGGGCCGAGGAGGUCCAACAACAACGAGGACAGAGCAUAGGCAGAAGCCCUGGCUGUCUUUUAGCCAAAGAGGAGUUGAUACAGGGAAAGAGAAGGUUGUUAGGAAGAGGAGACAGUACAGAGGAUAAACUUCUCAAACUGGAGUUGGGGUCUCAGGCGACGUGGGAUUGGCCACAAAUCCUGCAGCUGGGUUUUACCAUUGACCAGAACCCUUCUUGUCCCCAACUGGGGUGGCCGGUCACUCUGCUCGAACUGCCCAUUUCCAAUCUCCUGACCUAGCCGCUGUUCUAACACUCCAUGUUCGAGGACUUUCUUAGGUCACCAGGGACCAGUUUGCUCUUACAUACUUAAAAUUAUGCAAUUGGCAGUUAACGCCAGUGGGAGCAGCUCUCCAACAAGGAUUGACAGGCGCUGGUAGCUAAACCUCUUAGCGCUUUCAACCCUAAAAUGGGAUAACUCUGAGGCAUACGUUCUAUGCUGGCUCCCAGAGUUCCCCGAUGGGAUUAAGCUCCAAUUGACUAUAGUAGUAACUUGUGUGAAAACACAUCCUCCAUCGACUGCCUUCUUUUCCCUGUCUCAUUCCCUCAAGCUCCAAAUGGUGCCACCUGGGAUCAUCUCCCAAGUAAUCUACUUGUACUCGAGAUCUUUGUGUCAGGGUCUCCUCGUGCGGGAACCCAAGCUAACGCACGCGACUGUCUCCCCCACUUCCGGGUCUCUGUCUAUGCGGUUAAAAUGAGACCGACCCCAUCCCCCAACUCCAGGGAUGGGCACAUGACUCGGAGCUGACCAAUCACACCACCAUACCUCUUUGGCUACAGUGAUUGGUUCAGGGGUCGUCACGUGACCCCCAACCAGGCCAAUGACAGCUUCUUCCUGGACUUCUACCGAGACGAUUGGGAACAGGAACCUUUUUCUGCUGCGGUCCCCAAACUCUUGGGACGUUAGGUUGGGGGCCGGUGUUCUCUGAGGAUGAAGCCGCCUCAGAGGGUGCUGGUGCUGAGCUGAGGAAGCGAAAUCAGAUCCAGGUGGCCUUAUGUGCAUCCCUGGUUCCAGCGCAGUGUGUAAUUUGAAGUGCCGUUUAUUAGCCUGGUCCAUCCUGAGCUCUCCUGCUCCCCACAGGAAGGCCUAUUUCCCAUAGCUCCUCGGGUUUGCCCUCCCUAUCUGGCCCCUCAAGUGACAGGGUUUGCAGUCCCUGGGUUUGGCCGGGAAAUCGUUCUUGCCUGAGUGUUCUGAGUUGCUUUAGCAACAUUGUGGAGCAAGGGGAGUUACCAACGUUCAAGGUGGCGGAAUAACCUGUUUGAGAAAUCAACUACUUUUCAUUUCCUCAACUCCAGAGUCAUUGGGAAAGAAUGAAAGAACCGAAUUUUGCGGGACCAAGGAGCAGCGUGCAAGGCCCAGAGGAUGAAUUCUGUUUGGUCUAAGCCAGCGUGGGAAUCCUGUCUCCCUUUGACCUAGUCUUGGGGCAAUCUGGGCAAUAGAGCAUGGGGAAAGUGACCGCACCGGUUACGAUAUUUUCAACUGCAAGUGACAGCAUGCCUGACUGACCGUGGCUUAAGCGAAGAAGUGGAAUUAUCCUUUAUAACAAAAAGUCUGGAGGUCGGCAGCUCCAAAGUCGCUUUGAUGUGUCAAGGACCCAGGCUUAUCUUUCUGCUACGUCAUCUCCAGUGGUUGGCUUUUGGCCUCAGACUCAUGCCCAUCCCAGCUACUGCUGCAUCAUAGAACGUUUGAUCACAGGACACCGAUCAAAGCAGGAAGGAAGGGAUGGGGGGACAAAAGGCUUUCACCCCCUUGAAGCUCUAUAUUAUUAAUGAAGUGGAUCCUCAGAUUUCCCCUGACCUUUCAUUGGCUGAGAGCUGGAUCAUAUGCCCAUUCUGGACCAAUCAUUGCUUAAGGAGAAUGCGCACUUUUACUUAAGAUGGGUCAUGAUUUAUCUGCUGGGGCUGGAGAGCCAGCCACUCUCCAAAGAUCAAGGGAUUUCUACCCCUUAGCUGGGCCCCAAAUCAAGGUUCUCUGGGCAGGGAAGAUGUGGAAGCGGGGUGGGAAUGCCUCUGGGGUAGCAAGGGGCAGUGUGUCAGAUGGAGUGAGGUUUGUAGAAGGUAGGAGAGGUGUUCUGCUUGUGAAAAAUAAAUAUGAGAGAAAGCAGAAUUGAUCAAGGGGGCCUCACUUCAAUGCAGGUCCGCAAAGUCCUUGUCAACUCCUUGGGGGGCUCCGGAGCGAAGAUUGUUGGUUAGAGGAGCCCCACAUUGGGCGAGAUGGCCAGCCCUGGUGUCCUGCCAUACUCAGUCAUUGACCUGGGGCAACGCAGGAAGAGCACGGCCUUGGCUUGAAAGUUGAGACAGACCCUUAAGACGUUGCAGCUGGAGGCUGUCAGCUCGCUGCGUUCUUCACAGGCAACUAGCAAGUUCUUGAAGCUCUGCCCCUCCAGGACUGUCAUAGGGUGCUCAGUGUCUGGCCUGGCUAUGCCCAAAGAAGUCAAAUUUGAGGUGACAAAUCCAUUUCUGCCCAGGGGCAGCAUCAAGUUUGACAGAAGGAAUCAGAAGAACCAUUGAGAGAUUAGGCUCAAUUCAGAAAUUGAGUUUCACCUUUAGAAAAACAUUUUUUCUCACACAUAGGAUAUUUUCAUUAUAGCAAAAUGGGAAAUUUCACAUAUGUGCAGAGAAGAAGAUGAGAAUCAAUCAUAAUUCUUCCACCAUCGAUGAGGAUGAUAUUAGUAAGGUAAUAAUAGCUACCAUUGAUGGAAUGGUGAUUAUGUGCCAGGCACUGUGAUAAACCAUUCGUAUUCAUAAUCUCAUUUAAUCCCAGCUCUGCUGCUUGAGUGAGUUCCUUAGCCCCUGUAUGCCUCCGUCUUCUCCUCUGCCUAAUGGGGAGAUACAAUAGUAUCUAUCUAUCACUUGGGGUUCUGUGGAUUCACUUUGUUAAAUGUGAAGUGCUCGGAACAUUGCCUGACUCAAAUAAAUGCUCAAGGGAGAGCCUGGCUGGCUCAGUUGGUGGAGCAUGUGACUCUUGAUCUCGGGGUUCUGAGAUGGAGCCCCACGCUGGGUGUUGAGAUUGUUUAAAAAGAAAAUCUUUAAAAUAAAUAAAUGAAUAAACAAAUGCUCAAUAAAUAUUAGUAAUUAUUUUUGUUCUAAGCCCCCAUUCCUUUAUCUACAAUUG